rnacentral:tRNA from 2 species
GGGAUUGUAGUUAAAUAUAACAUUUGAAUUGCAUACAAAAAGUAUUGAAUUUUCAAUCUAUCUCA